AAGCAAGUUCUCUAAGGUACAGGCAUCUGAAGCUUGGGUAGCACAAAUGUGAAAAUAACACAAGCAUUCCCUAAUGUUUGUGUUAACCCAGGAAAACAACUGCAACAUACUGUGGACUACUAUUUGGGUCUAACAGUGAUAACUAGGUCACGAUGUCAGAGUUGAAUACCAGGAACACACCUCAUACUGAACACUUGAAUGCUGACGAGU